AAAAAUCUGUAACCCUUAUAUCUGGCCAUGAGAAGUCGGCCAGGACAAGGACAGAUCUGUGUCACCGAUUCUGUGUCAUUAGCCAACUCCCAAAGGAAGAUGGAGCAAAGGAGAAGCAAAAGGUCAUGUACCUUGAUUUCUCAAGAGCGUGUAGUUUUAGGCCAGAUAAAAUGCUCGAGAUAGCAAAGAGCUUUCCCUUGCAUGGAGACAAUUUGUUGAAAAAUAUGACGUAUGGUAGAAUUUCUAGAAUUUCUGCUAAAGAUAUUUAUAAGGAACAAAAGAAGUUAUAUGAUGAAGCAAAGGCAAAAA